GAACGGGUGAUUAACGCGUAAGCAAUCUGCCCCUAAGACGAGGAUAACAGUUGGAAACGACUGCUAAGACUGGAUAGGAGACAAGAAGGCAUCUUCUUGUUUUUAAAAGACCUAGCAAUAGGUAUGCUUAGGGAGGAGCUUGCGUCACAUUAGUUAGUUGGUGGGGUAAAGGCCUACCAAGACUAUGAUGUGUAGCCGGGCUGAGAGGUUGAACGGCCACAUUGGGACUGAGACACGGCCCAAACUCCUACGGGAGGCAGCAGUAGGGAAUUUUCGGCAAUGGAGGAAACUCUGACCGAGCAACGCCGCGUGAACGAUGAAGUAUUUCGGUACGUAAAGUUCUUUUAUUAGGGAAGAAUAAAUGAUGGAAAAAUCAUUCUGACGGUACCUAAUGAAUAAGCCCCGGCUAACUAUGUGCCAGCAGCCGCGGUAAUACAUAGGGGGCAAGCGUUAUCCGGAAUUAUUGGGCGUAAAGGGUGCGUAGGCGGUUAAAUAAGUUUAUGGUCUAAGUGCAAUGCUCAACAUUGUGAUGCUAUAAAAACUGUUUAGCUAGAGUAAGAUAGAGGCAAGUGGAAUUCCAUGUGUAGUGGUAAAAUGCGUAAAUAUAUGGAGGAACACCAGUAGCGAAGGCGGCUUGCUGGGUCUUUACUGACGCUGAGGCACGAAAGCGUGGGGAGCAAACAGGAUUAGAUACCCUGGUAGUCCACGCCGUAAACGAUGAGUACUAAACGUUGGGUAAAACCAGUGUUGAAGUUAACACAUUAAGUACUCCGCCUGAGUAGUACGUACGCAAGUAUGAAACUUAAAGGAAUUGACGGGACUCCGCACAAGCGGUGGAUCAUGUUGUUUAAUUCGAAGGUACCCGAAAAACCUCACCAGGUCUUGACAUGCUUCUGCAAAGCUGUAGAAACACAGUGGAGGUUAUCAGUUGCACAGGUGGUGCAUGGUUGUCGUCAGCUCGUGUCGUGAGAUGUUGGGUUAAGUCCCGCAACGAGCGCAACCCUUAUUGUUAGUUACCAGCACGUAAUGGUGGGGACUUUAGCAAGACUGCCAGUGAUAAAUUGGAGGAAGGUGGGGACGACGUCAAAUCAUCAUGCCCCUUAUGACCUGGGCUACAAACGUGAUACAAUGGCUGUUACAAAGGGUAGCUGAAGCGCAAGUUUUUGGCGAAUCUCAAAAAAACAGUCUCAGUUCGGAUUGAAGUCUGCAACUCGACUUCAUGAAGUUGGAAUCGCUAGUAAUCGCGAAUCAGCAUGUCGCGGUGAAUACGUUCUCGGGGUUUGUACACACCGCCCGUCAAACCACGAAAGUUGGCAAUACCCAAAGCCGGUGGCCUAAC
rnacentral:rRNA from 1 species